UUCUUAUUGAAUGAUGAUUGUCACGUAUCAUGUUCUGAUUGGAUGUCAAUUUCAUAAAAGAUGAAAUGCAUUGUUAUUUUCAUUGACCCAUCAGAACAUGACACGUGACAGUCAUCAUUC
rfam:Glycine soja cultivar W05 scaffold1889_6, whole genome shotgun sequence.